GAUGAACGCUGGCGGCGUGCCUAAUACAUGCAAGUCGAGCGAAUGGAUUAAGAGCUUGCUCUUAUGAAGUUAGCGGCGGACGGGUGAGUAACACGUGGGUAACCUGCCCAUAAGACUGGGAUAACUCCGGGAACCCGGGGCUAAUACCGGAUAACAUUUUGAACCGCAUGGUUCGAAAUUGAAAGGCGGCUUCGGCUGUCACUUAUGGAUGGACCCGCGUCGCAUUAGCUAGUUGGUGAGGUAACGGCUCACCAAGGCAACGAUGCGUAGCCGACCUGGAAGGGUGGUCGGCCACACUGGGACUGAGACACGGCCCAGACUCCUACGGGAGGCAGCAGUAGGGAAUCUUCCGCAAUGGACGAAAGUCUGACGGAGCAACGCCGCGUGAGUGAUGAAGGCUUUCGGGUCGUAAAACUCUGUUGUUAGGGAAGAACAAGUGCUAGUUGAAUAAGCUGGCACCUCGACGGUACCUAACCAGAAAGCCACGGCUAACUACGUGCCAGCCGCCGCGGUAA
rnacentral:rRNA from 1 species